rnacentral:lncRNA from 10 species
GUCGGAGUCCCAGCGGAUACCGCCUGCCGGGGCCGCGCCCCGCUCUGCCCACGCCCCGCGCUGGACAGGAUGGAUUUCCGCUCGAUGCAGGGAGGGGCUGCCCUGCAGGCAGGCUCUUUGUAGAGAGAUCCACGGAGAGGGCCUCCAACUUUCAAUCGAAUCUUCCACAACUUGUAUUUAUCGUGCUAUUAAUUAUGUUUCACCGCAGUUGACUACUGAGAACUUGAGAGCUAAGCUCAACAGAAAGGAUCCUUGACCUUAAAGUUUACAACCAAAGCCACUUGUCCUGAUUUGCCUCUUUGGACUUAAGAGGCAGAAAGAAAAACAUGUAUCCCUGGUAUUAAGAUAAUAUUCCCUUUGAUUGCUUGGGUUUGUAUGUUCACUUUCCCUCAAAUCACUCAAUUGCUGCAAAACCCCACUUACUCAAGUCUGAAGUGUUUGGAGAACGCAGCUUCCCUCGUCUUUGUUUUCCUACCCACACCCUUCUGCCUUUAGACACACACUGAAUGCUUAGACACACAAUGCACAGGUAUAUGGCCUCCCUUUUUACAUGAGCGUCCAGGGAGUGAAGAGGAAACCAAAGGACUGAAAGCGUGGACAACAGAGUAGUGACAGUUCCGCCACCCUUUGUCAGCAGGCCACAUGGCUAAGUGGGAGCCAUAUGGAUGUGAGUCCUGGAAGCAAUUGCUCCCACCCCAAUAGAAUGGACCACUAUUUAGGCAAAUUACACCUUGUGUAAAGCUUGCUUAUGUAGCCAGGUGGAAACAUCCAACCAUGAUGCUGAGAUGUAAUUGAAAAGAGAGGGGUGAACUGAAGGCACUCAUUCUCUUUCCUGUCACCCUGUGAAGAGGUGCCUUCCGCCAUGACUGUAAGUUUCCUGAGGGCUCCCCAGAC